rnacentral:rRNA from 1 species
AGUAACUGCGAGUGAAGCGGGAANAGCUCAAAUUUGAAUCUGGCAGUCCUUGGCUGUCCGAGUUGUAAUUUAGAGAAGUGCUNCCCGCGCUGGACCCGUAUACAAGUCCUCUGGAAUGGGGCGUCAUAGAGGGUGAGAAUCCCGUCUUUGAUACGGACUACCAGUGCUNUGCGGUGCGCUCUCNAAGAGUCGAGUUGUUUGGGAAUGCAGCUCAAAAUGGGUGGUAAAUUCCAUCUAAAGCUAAAUACAGGCGAGAGACCGAUAGCGAACAAGUACCGUGAGGGAAAGAUGAAAAGAACUUUGGAAAGAGAGUUAAACAGUACGUGAAAUUGCUGAAAGGGAAACGCUUGAAGUCAGUCGCGUCGUUCAAGAAUCAGCCCGCUUUUGCUUGGUGUACUUCUUGUUCGACGGGUCAGCAUCAGUUUCGACCAUUGGAUAAGGACUUGGGAAAUGUGNCAUCUUCGGAUGUGUUAUAGUCCCCCGUCCCAUACAGUGGUUGGGACUGAGGAACUCAGCGCGCCGCAAGGACAGGUCUCUGACCUAC